rnacentral:lncRNA from 1 species
CCUGUAUUUAGCUACAGGCUAGGUACAGUACAUGAAAGCCUCAAGACAAGUGUCCCUUAGCAAUGCUCCUAGAUUCUAGCUGAACAGCAGUGGAAAAAACCAAUGUCCACGGCUCAUUUGGUCCCUUCCUUCUUUGCCUGCUCCACAGAACAUCGUCUCCCCUUUGCUCCAAGGGAAACUAGAAACUGAACUGAGACACAGCACGUUGGCUCAGACUGAAAAUGACAUAUCCUAAAGCUCGUUGAACAUUAUCUGUUGAACAUUUUUCCAACAUCAAACUGGAUUUUCAGUCAAAAACAGAAGACCUCACUGGCCAAGUUCGCGGACAACACCAAGUUAUGGGGAAGCGUGAUCAUGCCUGAAGAUAGGCUGCAGAUACAGGCGGACAUAGACAGGCUGGCAAGUUGGAGAGAUCAGAAUCUGAUGAAGUUCAAUGUUGAGAAAUGUAAAGUGCUCCACCUCAGGACGAGCAACCCCCAACACACCUGCAGGCUUGGUGGCACCAAACUGACUAGCACCACGAAUGCUGGAGACAUGAAUGAAGACAGGAAGCUCGGAGGCACUCGGGGAAAAUGAAAACACCAAAAAGUUAACUGAAUGUUUCCAAUCCCUGGCAAGGUCUCCUUUGAGUUUCACAUGCCGAUUCAGACCAGCUCAAACCAUUCAUCCCUGCCUUCCCCCGCACUUCCGCCCUAAACUUCCUGGCAUGCUGUGCAA